rnacentral:rRNA from 1 species
GUGGGGAAUUUUGGACAAUGGGCGCAAGCCUGAUCCAGCAAUGCCGCGUGCAGGAAGAAGGCCUUCGGGUUGUAAACUGCUUUUGUACGGAACGAAACGGUCCGGGUUAAUACCCUGGGCUAAUGACGGUACCGUAAGAAUAAGCACCGGCUAACUACGUGCCAGCAGCCGCGGUAAUACGUAGGGUGCAAGCGUUAAUCGGAAUUACUGGGCGUAAAGCGUGCGCAGGCGGUUUUGUAAGACAGGCGUGAAAUCCCCGGGCGCAACCUGGGAGGUGCGCUUGUGAAUGCAAGGCUGGAGUGCGGCAGAGGGGGGUGGAAUUCCGCGUGUAGCAGUGAAAUGCGUAGAUAUGCGGAGGAACACCGAUGGCGAAGGCAAUCCCCUGGGCCUGCACUGACGCUCAUGCACGAAAGCGUGGGGAGCAAACAGGAUUAGAAACCCGUGUAGUCC